UUGAACGCUGGCGGCAGGCCUAACACAUGCAAGUCGAGCGCGAAAGGUUUUCGGACUGAGUAAAGCGGCGGACGGGUGAGUAACGCGUGGGAAUCUGCCCAGUAGUGGGGGACAACAGUCGGAAACGACUGCUAAUACCGCAUACGCCCUACGGGGGAAAGGGGGGGAUCUUCGGACCUCUCGCUAUUGGAUGAGCCCGCGUCGGAUUAGCUAGUUGGUAGGGUAAAGGCCUACCAAGGCUACGAUCCGUAACUGGUCUGAGAGGAUGAUCAGUAACACUGGAACUGAGACACGGUCCAGACUCCUACGGCGGGCAGCAAUGGUGAAUAUUGGACAAUGGGGGCAACCCUGAUCCAGCCAUGCCGCGUGUGUGAAGAAGGCCUUAGGGUUGUAAAGCACUUUCAGUGGGUAGAAAGGUUUGUCACCUAAUACGUGAUGAAAUUGAUGUUACCCACAGAAGAAGCACCGGCUAACUCCGUGCCAGCAGCCGCCGCGG
rnacentral:rRNA from 1 species